UACGUAGGGUGCGAGCGUUGUCCGGAAUUACUGGGCGUAAAGAGCUCGUAGGUGGUUUGUCGCGUUGUCCGUGAAAACUCACAACUCAAUUGUGGGCGUGCGGGCGAUACGGGCAGACUGGAGUACUGCAGGGGAGACUGGAAUUCCUAGUGUAGCGGUGGAAUGCGCAGAUAUCAGGAGGAACACCGGUGGCGAAGGCGGGUCUCUGGGCAGUAACUGACGCUGAGGAGCGAAAGCGUGGGGAGCGAACAGG
rnacentral:rRNA from 1 species